AAGUCGUAACAAGGUUUCCGUAGGUGAACCUGCGGAAGGAUCAUUAAACGUUUUCCAACGUACCAACCACGUGAACUCGUUUUCGAGUGUCUGCGGUCGGCCUUGAGGGCGUCAAAGUAUGGUGGGCAUCCGCGGGCCGCAAGGCUCGAGGCUCUGCUGUUUGAUGUUCUGCAUCGUCUUCGGACGAGACAAGCCGCGCCUCAGCAACCAUUUAUUCUUUUAAUUAUUUUUUAAAACGCAUUGUACCACUCGUACUAACACUUUGUGAAGUCGGCAGAGCGUGCUUGCGCGCACUCCGAUGAACUUAAAGACAUUAAUUGCUGAACAACUCUUAGCAACGGAUAUCUUGGUUCUC
rnacentral:misc_RNA from 1 species